rnacentral:tRNA from 1 species
GCCCUGCUAGCUCAGUUGGUGGAGCAUGAGACUCUUAAUCUCAGGGUCCUGGGUUCGUGCCCCACUUUGGGUG